rnacentral:rRNA from 1 species
UACGAAGGGGGCUAGCGUUGCUCGGAAUCACUGGGCGUAAAGGGUGCGUAGGCGGGUCUUUAAGUCAGGGGUGAAAUCCUGGAGCUCAACUCCAGAACUGCCUUUGAUACUGAGGAUCUUGAGUUCGGGAGAGGUGAGUGGAACUGCGAGUGUAGAGGUGAAAUUCGUAGAUAUUCGCAAGAACACCAGUGGCGAAGGCGGGUCUCUGGGCCGAUACUGACGCUGAGGAGCGAAAGCGUGGGGAGCGAACGAGGAAU